rnacentral:rRNA from 1 species
CCUACGGGUGGCAGCAGUGAGGAAUAUUGGUCAAUGGUCGGGAGACUGAACCAGCCAAGCCGCGUGAGGGAUGAAGGUACAGAGUAUCGUAAACCUCUUUUGUCAGGGAACAAAGGCGGGGACGUGUCCCCGGCUGAGUGUCCCUGACGAAAAAGCAUCGGCUAACUCCGUGCCAGCAGCCGCGGUAAUACGGAGGAUGCGAGCGUUAUCCGGAUUUAUUGGGGUUAAGGGGUGCGCAGGCGGUCUGUUAAGUCAGCGUUCAAAGCCCGGGGCUCAACCCCGGCCCGCCGUUGAAACUGGCAGUCUCGAGUUGGAGAGAAGUAUGCGGAAUGCGCGGUGUAGCGGUGAAAUGCAUAGAUAUCGCGCAGAACUCCGAUUGCGAAGGCAGCAUGCCGGCUCCACACUGACGCUGAGGCACGAAAGCGUGGGUAUCGAACAGGAUUAGAUACCCGAGUAGUC